CUUCCAAUUGCACUCAAGGACGGGAGGGCUGGCUGGAGAACUGGCUCCGGCGUGAAGAGCAAAUUUUGCCACAGCCCCUUACGGAUAGACCCCCACAAGUGUGCUAAGGUCUCCAUGGCCUCGCAUCCUCAGCAUCCAAGGGGAUAUCAUCCUUUGAAGAUAGCGAUGGCCACUGUCAUCAGAAGAACUUGGAGUCCUCCUUAGGCACACAGGAUAAAUGAGAUGAAGUAGAGACAGGGAUGUUUUUAACAUUUCAAUGUGAACGAUCUCAGUAAUCUCCAUAUUCGCAACCAAUCGGCAAUAAAGAAUCAGUCCACAGCAGCAAUAGCAAGUAUGAUCGCGGUGGAUAUUACUUUGCAAAUUAUUAUAAGAGCAUAAAAGAACGAAGUGCGUGAGAACAGGGGGUUAAUGGGAAACCCCGAAAUGGACUUGAAAUAAUAAGCUCGUUUUCUCAGAGCCAUUUAGCCAACCCCUGGGAGAAAAUCAUUCCUGUUAUACGAGUUUGUUUAUGAGAUUCGAUGAGAAGCUGACCUAGUGAGCGGGUGUUCGUGGCGGCGGAACCACAAGAAAGCACAAAUCUGCGGUCAAAAGGUCGAGUCCCCAAGGCCCAGGGACUAUUGCUUUUAAUUUCUAAUAACAACGAGUUUCUACAGCAGAUCCCUACUUACGGCUCCCCCGAAACUCUCACGCUUAUUCCGUCAGAAGACCGAGUAGCCGGCAGACCACGCUCCCCAUGUCACUCCCCCUUCAGUGACUCGACAGUGCCGUCAGCGCCUUAACUCCUCACGGUGAAUCUGUAGCAGGCAUUUUCUUUCUGAAUUCCGACCGUCACUUCGGUGAGAGAACCGAAUCGAUAGCGCUCCUGCACGCAAGGUUUAUCACCGUGAAUGCCAGGCUCAACAGAUACAGUUCACUUUCACUCGCUACCCUGGGAUCAGCCGGAUGCCAGGGGUUUGACAUAUGGAGGCUCCUCAGGGCUGUGCUGACAAAUCUUGACAUCGGAGCUCUGCCCUUUCUUACAAAGCUUGCGAAGGUGAAUGGUGUGCUGUUGUCGCAACAGGGAGGGCAAGUUUCUUCCUUCUGGUGACGACGUCAUUCUAUUUCCUGUGGGAGAAGCAGACUUCUCUCUGGGGUUAAAGGUUGGAGAUUUUAGUUGGUCCACACCUGUUAAGUGUGAGGAGCAUGGUCUUUGCCAGGUGGAAUUAGUUGAAUUCUGAGGACUUUGAGGGGUAUAAACAUGACAGACCAGCGGAAGAAGGAGCAGCUGCUCGGAGGAGGACCGCUUGCUGCUGGUUUGUCCUGCUGCUGCAUUUGCUGUUUGCUGAUUUGCUGAUUACGUGGACUUCUGGAUUUCUGGACUCCUGAUACUGGUAUUUCCCCCCAAAGAAUCCUAAGACUCUACCCAGAGGGAAGUAGCAGAGAGAACUCCACCCCCUGCCCCACUAAUCUU